CCUACGGGAGGCAGCAGUGAGGAAUAUUGGUCAAUGGGCGAGAGCCUGAACCAGCCAAGUCGCGUGAGGGAAGACGGUCCUAUGGAUUGUAAACCUCUUUUGUCGGGGAGCAAAAAGGCCUCGUGAGGCCACAAGUGAGAGUACCCGAAGAAAAAGCAUCGGCUAACUCCGUGCCAGCAGCCGCGGUAAUACGGAGGAUGCGAGCGUUAUUCGGAUUUAUUGGGUUUAAAGGGAGCGUAGGCGGGUUGUUAAGUCAGUUGUGAAAGUUUGCGGCUCAACCGUAAAAUUGCAGUUGAUACUGGCAUCCUUGAGUACAGUAGAGGUAGGCGGAAUUCGUGGUGUAGCGGUGAAAUGCUUAGAUAUCACGAAGAACUCCGAUUGCGAAGGCAGCCUGCUGGACUGUAACUGACGCUGAUGCUCGAAAGUGUGGGUAUCAAACAGGAUUAGAUACCCGAGUAGUC
rnacentral:rRNA from 1 species